CCACUACAGCUUCGUGAAACCUGGUCAGUCGAUUACAGCCAAUGUCUACUGCAACCAAUUGGACAAAAUUAUGAGGAUCCUUGUGAUUAAGUAGCUGAGAUUGGUCAACAGAGACAGGCCAAUUCUCUUGCCUGUCUCGACUACAUGUUGCACAAACAACUCUGCUUAAACUACAGUAGCUGGACUUGGAAAUUCUCUCUCAUCCGUUGUAUUCAUUAGACCUUGCACCAACUGACCACCACUUCUUCCAGGCUUCGGACCACUUUUUACAAGGAAAGAUAUUCAGUUCUCACCAAGCCGUGGAAAACACCUGUCAUGAUCUCAUUACCACUCGCUCUCCAGGCUUCUUCGCUGCUGCAUAAACAAGCUGUCGUGAAGAUGGCAAAACCGUGUUGAUAGUUUAGGUGCAUACUUUGGCUCAUUGUACUGCUUCUUAAUUGAGAUAUAUACUAAACUUUUGAUUUGAAACUGGAUAUGUCAUAUUUAAUGACCAAUGUUUCUGACAAAGAAGAAGGAACAGACAUUAUUUUCUUAAUCCUUUAAGAAAAUAAUGAGAAAGCUGAAGCACAGAUGGGUUUAAGGACCUCCCAUGACCCUAAAGCCAGUCAGGAGUGAGAUGUGUGCCCAUGGAUGCUGCAGUGUAUGACAGAGGCUCACGGUGACUGAGGUGGCCACUUCUGAAGUCACAGUGUGCACAGCAGGAUGAGGAGCCACACAUGCAUAGGAGGCUAGAGGGUUUUCCUGCUUUUUUAUUAUCUCCCUGUUGACUACCUUAAUGCUUCUCAGAGGUUCAUCUGUGUAUGCAGGCUGCUUUCAGGUGCUAGACAGAUGGAAAUUCUUAAUAGUUCCUUAUUUUAAUGUGCACCAGGGGAAGAACCCUGUAACUAGCAGGUCACACACCUGGUUUCAUAUUUCAUGAAUAUUUUUGCACAGAAUAAAGCAUUUGUGUUUCCUUAAGGUGGGGGGACACCGGGAAGAACACAUUUACCAAAGUGAUAAGGAACUCAUGGGUGAGGGGCACCAGCUUCACUGACAAGCUCAGUGGUAGCUCUGUAGGCCAGAAGAUGCAGAAGGUGGCUCCCUGAUGGCCGUGGGCACGGAAGAAUAGAGGCCCAGUGGCAGUGCUUCACUAUCAGGAACAAAGACAUGAUUACCAUGAGUGGCCAGAUCUGAAGGAUACCUGCAGAGAGCUUUGGAGAUGGUUAUUAGAACACAGCAUCCCUGGAAGCAAAAUAGAUAGCAAACAGUGAGUUAUUGUUCAAGCUAUACCAUCAAGAGAUCUUAAGGAUGGAUGACUGGAAGAGAGGGCACAGCUACCAUAAUAAAAGGUGAUGAUCUUUUGCCAAGUUUCCAGACCUUUGUUCUUUUUCAAACCCAGAAACUACUGACUGGAGGAAAGGCUGGAUCCCCAAGAAGGUCUUUGAAACACCGCUGCAGGUAUAGAUGGCAGUGAUGCCCCUGUGGUUAUUUACUUGGAUAACUGGACACUGGGGAAGGGAAUACACAAACACCCUGAGGACCAUGGAACACAAGGUCCAAGUCGACAUUGAAACUCAGGGCCAGAGUACCAACAUAGGCCAUCUUUAGAGUGGGGCAUAUGGGAUCCAGGUACUAUAUGGAGUUCUUCCCCAGGUCUUCCUUAUAGUAGGUGUGUUGAAUUUAUGGGUCUACUCAAUGACCAUCUUCCUACUUUCAGAAUAAAUAAUUGGGCUGAACAUAUUUGGGAGUUGGCAGAAGCACUAUCAUGAUUCAUUGAAGAAUCAAAACUCAUCAACAAGAUGGGCAACCACCUGGCCAACCCCUGCAGGCCAGCCGGCCCCCAGGUUGGGCCGGGCUCACUCUCAAGCACGACAAGGAGCCCACCAAGCCCAGGGACCUCUGAGGAGCCCCUCGCAAAGUAUCAGGGCUUCUGCCUGUGCCUCUCCCUCCAGCCACUAGGCAACUUUUUAACCAUUCUAGAGUCCUUUCCCAAGCCUUGGGCCAAGUGGAAAUAGAGUUUUUGCAGGAAAAAAAAAAUUAGCCCAGAGGAUUUAUCUGUUGAAAUACACAUUGUGAAUCAUUUUUUAAAUGUAUUUAUCUUUUAUAUUAAGUAGGACAUUAUUUUUAAAAAUUUGAUCUUUCUUAGAUGUUAUUAUCUGUAAGUUUCUUUAACAUAAAUGGUGAAAUAAUUUUUAAUGACUAUCACUAAAGCUUCCUUUCUUUAGUUAAGACAUUAAGUAUACAAUUUCCUAGGAAUUACUUGUUUAAAGGCAGUAACUUUUGGAAGAGAACUACAUUGACAGCCUCAGAAACUAGUUUAUCCAAUAACCUUCCAAUGAUCAGGACAGGAUCAUGGCACAAACCUGGCUUCCCUUCCAUUGGAUUAACGUAUUAUCAUUUAUCACUUUUUAUUUCUAAGAUCACAAGAAAUAUGUUGCACUAAAAGGAGUACACUCUCAUAAUUUCCAAAUCACAACCGUGUGCAGAAUGACAAUGGCCAGCCACUUAGAGUAGGAGACUAGGAGACAGAGCUGAGAUAGGAUACAGGGGAUUACAGAGUGAGUACAGGUGUUAAAAUAACCCUCAGACAAAAACUAGUUAGGCUACCAGGCUGGGAGCUGGAUACAGGGGCUGGCAGAAUGAAUGCAGGUGUUAAAGUCUAACUAAGAGGGACUCAUAAUAUCCACAGAUAAAAACUGGCUUCAACUGGCUUGUCAGCUGUCUAGGCCACCUUACAUAAACUUUGGCCAAUUACAAUAUCAUUUACAUUGUGGUUUUAAAAGUUCUUUGCCCUUAACAUCGCCAUGGCAGUUCCAAAACAAUUAUAUAAACUAUAAAAAUGGGAGCCAACUCAAUUCUAGAAAUUACUACUCAAAAUCUUAGUCCAGAUAAUACUUGGUUUUGAAUAUUUCUCCCCUCAAUUAGAGAGACAUCAAAAAGCCAAAGACCCCUUCUUGUCGGGGCAGCUACUCUUUUUGAGCCUGUCCUCUUCUCUUCAGAAUGUAAUUUCACUUUUGCUUUCGAUAAAAUCUUCUUGCUUUUGGGUUAUGUGUGGUGUAUCCUAAAAUUUUUUUCUUCCAAUGAUCUCCAAGAACCUAAAAAACCUCCACUCAGAGGCCGGUGACAUCUCUAUGGCGACCAGGGCAGGACACGGCGCAUAAGCCUUGACGUGGCUGUCGUGUCAUAAUUUGGGGACCUACAUACAGCCUUUGCCCAGCUUUGCAGCUGACUAUCUGUCAAUUUACACCUAAAGAAAAGAGAUCCAAGUUUGAAAGGCUUGUGUUAGGACCUCGGGCUCUACAAGGAAGCCUCAGGAGCUGCAGGUAGGGCUCGGGGCUCAGGUGAUGGGCGGAAGGGGCAGGGGAGGGUGAGGUGAGGAGGAGCCAGAGAAGGGUAGGGCUCCCAAGGUUAAGUGCCUGGGAAUCUAGUUUUUCGACACCAGCCUUCCUUCAAAGACAGCAGCUAUAUUUUAUAUCUAUAUUUAUCUAUUCUUUGUAACAUUGUCAGUUCAAAUAGUAUUUCAUGUUUUUCCCCUAAAGGAUUCAUUCCACUGCUGGGAGAAAAAAUGGUAAAAAUCACUGGCUUACAUAGACCCAAAUCACACCUCAUUUAUAGAUUGUUUAGUAGAUUAAACAGUACCCCACCCUCGCCCCAAAUUCACUAUUCGCGGAGGAGUUCAGAACAUCUAGGAAAAAGUUUAAGCAAAACCAGGAUUAUUUCCCCAAAUUAACAUGACCUAUUCCAUUUACUCCAGAGGACUUCUGCCCUCCAGGGACUGCUGAGCCACAUAAUCCUGUCUUUGAGCUUGAGUGAGGGGAGGCGUGGGGCAGAGAUGGGCUCCAACGCCGCUGGAUGUUCAGUCUCUCUGGAAUCAGGACAACCUGCGUCCUUUUCCUGCGCUGUGCAGGAUUCUUAUUGAACACUAGAUGCCGCUGUUGUCCCACUCUGUUGUCUGCCAGCUUCAAGAUUUCCAGCCAGUUUCCAUCAAGAGAUGGUUUUUAAAAGCCUGAACUAAUAUACAAAGGUCUGUUUAUUUUUCUCUUACUUAAUGAUUGAUUUAGAGAGUUUUAAAAAUAUUUUUUGAUAAAUUUCAGAGGUUGUCUUUCUUUCUGGAAAACAUUUGACAAUUGGCAGAAAAUGCAAAGAUGAAAAGGUGUGGAUGUUUUGUAAAGAAGAAAGGUUAACUCAGGCUAGAGGUUUGCAAAUAAGAUCAUUUUUUGACAUCUGAGCUUCUGCCCAAGGAAAAAUUCAAGUUCCUCUCUGGCUGACUUGUUUCUCUAGUUCUGUGGCAUGCCAAGCUGGUUUUGUCUUCAGUAUUUAUUUGAGAAUCACAAUUUGAGAUAUGCUUGAUGACUAUCUUUACUAUGUUCCAGGUUGUUAGUGUCAUUACUGGUUUUUUUACCUUAAAAAAGAACCAUACUUUGGCAAAUUUUUAACACACAAGUGGAAAGAUUAGUAGUGAAGUGUGCUCUGUAUACCCAUCCUUUUAUAAACGACCAAGUUUUACAUCAUCAUCUACUUAAUCCAUUUCUUAGGCAGGUUUUACUGUCUUUAUUGUAUAGAUAGUAAAAUUGAGGACCAGAGAGAUUAAGCAGCUAGUUGUACAGUCUAAUUCAAACCCCUACUUCCAAAAAGUGUUUCUAUGACAAUACUCUUCCACCUGAUUUCUAGCAGAGCUGUGCAUAUCUGAAAGCCAAAUCCUCUUUUGAAGACCAGACCUACAUAUAUACAUUUUCAAGAGCUUUUGCAAUAUAUUUGCAGGGGUCUUCUAAAGAGAGAACAAUUUAUUGCUAGAUUUAGCUACUGCUAAAUUUACAAUAGCUGUGCAUAUUGUAAAUGUGUGCCUAUUUAGGCAUUUUAUUCUUUUUAAUACAAAGGAACUCAAAAACUACCAGAAUAUAGUUGAGAUCCCUUAGAAGCUAUAAACUGUCACAAACGACUGGAUGUUGUAAAUGACAAAGACAGUACAAGGUCCUCUCCAGCUUGCAUUUCCAACCUGGAAAUACCCCUUUAGGAAUUUCCCUGGAUGCUUCACUACAUUCACAGAACCUGAAUAUUUUAAAACCAAAGCUGCACUAACUCUUGUUCUCUAUAAUUAGUCACCUUCUAUCUUCAACCUUGUCUACCACUCCUCAUUUUUAUUAAACUCCCUGAUCCCUUGUGUCGUAGCUCCAGGCAACCCCACAGCUGGAGCCAUAGAAAACACAGAGGUUGGUCAUCCGUCUCCUAAGAUGUAGUAUGGGAUACCAUCUUCUGAGACUUCUCAGGUCCUUUCAGCUUCUUUUCAUUAUUAUUAUUUCAGCAGACCAAGCACUAAAGGAAUAUGGGCCAGUUAGGACCAGUUUCAGACUCACAGUGAUCUGGCAAUGGGUGGCAGAGGUGAUGCCUUUCUCAAAAGGCAGGUCACUAAAUGUUAUUUGGAAAUGUAGAAAAUUGCAAAUAAAAUCGGAGAUUUUUUUUUUUGCUCCAUUUUAGUCCUUAAAAUUCCCUGAUCCUUCCAGAACAAAUAUGACUCAGAUGUGGAGGCAGUGCUAUCUCUGUGCUCCCAUAGGGAAGUGCUCGGAGCGUUUCUGCUAUUGCAUUGAAAUACGUGUUUACAUUACUGUGCCCACCCACCCCCCUCCAUGAGAAGACUGCCUCCAGGGGAGCACCAAAUCCUGAUCAUCUCUGUAUCCCUGUCACCCUAUCUUUCAUAGUGCCUGGUCUACAACAGUGUUUGUCAACCCUGACUUCAUGUCAGAGGCCUUUGGUGUUGCAAACAUACAGAUCUCCAGACCUGCUGAGCAAGACUCUUGAGACAGCACAGUUCAGCCGGGUACAGGAAUGAAAAACAAGAACUCGGGCCACUAUAGAUCUGAAUCCUCAGGACAUCUGCUCAGGGACUUCAUUUCCCCCAUCCUUCACUCCCUACGCCUCAUUUAAUUGAAGUGUGGGUAAUCGUUCUACUGAAAUCUGGAAAGAAUUGAUUCUACAAUACUCUGUAUUCUUUUUCUGCAAAUGUAAAAAUUUUGGAAGAAUAUAUGUGAAUUGCUAGCCUCUUUGAGUCAUGACUUGGGAAAGGUGACUCAAGGACUCGGAGACAUUUAAUUUUAGAAAACCAUCCAGCUUUUGGUUAGAGAAUCAUGCCCAGAAGAAAACUGCCUCAUUAAUUCAUAUUAUCUGCAUGCAAAGCAGAACAAAUUUAUGAACAUCUCUUUAGUAUGAGGUGUGAGGGAAAUCCCAACAUGUUGAAUUCAAAAUAGGAUAAAAACUGGAGAAAUUAAUUGUACUAUAUCUACUAUUAUGAAUUUACAUUGUAUAAAAAGUUACAAAUAUUACCUUUGUUUUGUAUGCUAUUGUUUUUUUUUUUUUUAGUUCAGUAAUAGCUCCUUUUCAAUCUCCUUUGCUGGAUUCUUCUCUAAGCAAUCUCAAAAUGUAGGUGUUUCUAUAGACUUUCAUUCAUAAGAAAUGUUUAUGGUAAGUGUUUGAAUAAAAAAGAAAACAUUAAAACUGGUUCCUUGUGUGGAAUCCUGCUAUAAUCCCAGUGCUUUGGCAAGCCACAGUGGGAGGAUUGCUUGAGGCCAGGAGUUUGAG